UACGUAGGGGGCGAGCGUUGUCCGGAUUUAUUGGGCGUAAAGGGCGCGUAGGCGGUCACGCACGUCCGUUGUGAAAUCGCUCGGCUCAACUGGGCGGGGUCAGCGGAUACGGCGUGGCUGGAGCAAGCUAGGGGGCAAUGGAAUUCCCGGUGUAGUGGUGGAAUGCGUAGAUAUCGGGAGGAACACCAGUGGCGAAGGCGGUUGCCUGGAGCUUUGCUGACGCUGAUGCGCGAAAGCGUGGGGAGCGAUCCGG
rnacentral:rRNA from 1 species